rnacentral:rRNA from 1 species
CGGGAGGCAGCAGUAGGGAAUAUUGGGCAAUGGGCGGAGGCCUGACCCAGCCAUGCCGCGUGCAGGAAGACGGCGUUCUGCGUUGUAAACUGCUUUUAUACGGGAAGAAAAGGCCCAUGCGUGGGACAUUGCCGGUACCGUAUGAAUAAGCACCGGCUAACUCCGUGCCAGCAGCCGCGGUAAUACGGAGGGUGCAAGCGUUGUCCGGAUUUAUUGGGUUUAAAGGGUGCGUAGGCGGCCGGUUAAGUCAGCGGUGAAAGUUUAUGGCUCAACCAUGAAAUUGCCGUUGAUACUGGCUGGCUUGAGUGUCGAUGGGGUACAUGGAAUUUAUGGUGUAGCGGUGAAAUGCAUAGAUACCAUAAGGAACACCGAUAGCGAAGGCAUUGUACUUAUCGACAACUGACGCUGAGGCACGAAAGCGCGGGUAGCGAACAGGAUUAGAUACCCUGGUAGAAUCGA